AUGCAAGUCGAACGGUAACAGAANAGCUUGCUCUUGCUGACGAGUGGCGGACGGGUGAGUAAUGUAUGGGGAUCUGCCAAAUGGAAGGGGACAACAGUUGGAAACGACUGCUAAUACCGUAUAAUGUCGCGAGACCAAAGUGUGGGACCUUCGGGCCACAUACCAUUUGAUGAACCCAUAUGGGAUUAGCUAGUAGGUAGGGUAAAGGCCUACCUAGGCGACGAUCUCUAGCUGGUCUGAGAGGAUGACCAGCCACACUGGAACUGAGACACGGUCCAGACUCCUACGGGAGGCAGCAGUGGGGAAUAUUGCACAAUGGGGGAAACCCUGAUGCAGCCAUGCCGCGUGUAUGAAGAAGGCCUUAGGGUUGUAAAGUACUUUCGGUAAUGAGGAAGGUAACUAUUCUAACAGGAUAGUUAAUUGACGUUAAUUACAGAAGAAGCACCGGCUAACUCCGUGCCAGCAGCCGCGGUAAUACGGAGGGUGCGAGCGUUAAUCGGAAUGACUGGGCGUAAAGGGCAUGUAGGCGGAUGAUUAAGUUAGGUGUGAAAGCCCCGGGCUCAACCUGGGAAUUGCACUUAAAACUGGUUAUCUAGAGUAUUGUAGAGGAAGGUAGAAUUCCACGUGUAGCGGUGAAAUGCGUAGAGAUGUGGAGGAAUACCGGUGGCGAAGGCGGCCUUCUGGACAAAUACUGACGCUGAGAUGCGAAAGCGUGGGGAGCAAACAGGAUUAGAUACCCUGGUAGUCCACGCUGUAAACGAUGUCGAUUUUGGAUUUUGGGGGCAUGACCCUUGGGCUCCGGAGCUAACGCGUUUAAUCGACCGCCUGGGGAGUACGGCCCCAAGGUUAAAACUCAAAUGAAUUUGACGGGGGCCCCCACAACCGGUGGAACCUGUUGGUUUAAUUCGAAGCCACCCCAAAUAACCUUUUCCUGGUCCUUGACAUCCAUAAAAACCUUUCCAAAAAAAAAAAAAUUCCCUU
rnacentral:rRNA from 1 species